CCUACGGGUGGCAGCAGUCGAGAAUCAUUCACAAUGGGGGAAACCCUGAUGGUGCGACGCCGCGUGGGGGAAUGAAGGUCUUCGGAUUGUAAACCCCUGUCAUGUGGGAGCAAAUUAAAAAGAUAGUACCACAAGAGGAAGAGACGGCUAACUCUGUGCCAGCAGCCGCGGUAAUACAGAGGUCUCAAGCGUUGUUCGGAAUCACUGGGCGUAAAUCGUGCGUUGGCUGUUUCGUAAGUCGUGUGUGAAAGGCGCGGGCUCAACCCGCGGACGGCACAUGAUACUGCGAGACUAGAGUAAUGGAGGGGGAACCGGAAUUCUCGGUGUAGCAGUGAAAUGCGUAGAUAGCGAGAGGAACACUCGUGGCGAAGGCGGGUUCCUGGACAUUAACUGACGCUGAGGCACGAAGGCCAGGGGAGCGAAAGGGAUUAGAUACCCCAGUAGUC
rnacentral:rRNA from 1 species